AGUGUUUUAACAUUUGUGAUAGAAAUCUUCAUGCUUUCAACUGGAGAUGUGACAUAUUACUCGUUAUACAAAUGCAAUUUUAAUACUAAAUUGAUAGUUAAACCAUAGUCCCUCGAAGCUGACGUUGCGCGAUAAGUUGGUGACAACAUUCCAUUUUUAGAAAUCCUUUUAAUAUGUAUAAUUAUUUGAAUUUGUAUUUAUUUUAUUUCUUGGGACUGCCGGUAACCCAUGCUUGAUUCACACUGAAUCUCUCUAUAGUAUCAUCACAGAGGGAGCUGGUGGCCUCCAAAAUGUGGCUGGCGACGAGGAUUCUUUGAUAUCAUGAUAUAUACAAGGAUUCUCUCCCGAUGAAUACUGGCAUUGUGAUUAAUUUUAUUUUAAACAUUAAACAUUUUUCUUCCGUAUAUUAAUAUAUACAAUGUACAAUGUAUUUUCAAAGAAAACAAUUAAUUAAUUAAUUAACAAGCUCUGCAGGCUAGAUUCAUUUUCUAAACCCAAGAAGUUAACAGUACAAUGUUACAUAAAAACAUUGAAAAUAU
rnacentral:misc_RNA from 1 species